GUUCGACGCCGUUGAUAAGGAUAAGAAAUUACAAUGGCGCCUGAAGAAGCGUCUGCAGAAGCUGCAGGAGGCAGGCAAGGUGAACACAGAGCAGGCGGAGACGCUGCGGCAGGAGCUGGCAGAAGUUAAGCAGCGUCUGCAGCAGGUGGAAGACGCAGAGAUAAAAGACUUCAAUAAAGCAGAAGGCAAGAAGAGGCACCGCAACGCUAAGACCAUAGAGAGAGUCAAGAGAUUAAAGACUGCCAAGUAUU